GGGACUAAGGUGUUAGCGGCAGCCGACCCGGAAGCCGGGUGCCCCGCGGCUCUUAACCGGUGAGGUCAGGGUUCGAGCCCCUGUGGUCCUA
rnacentral:tRNA from 1 species